rnacentral:tRNA from 1 species
GCAGGAAAAGUAUGAGAGUACGAUUUAUUGUGGGUAAAUAGGAGUCACUUGUGGU